GUGUGGGCAUUCAGAUCACCAACGCUGUGACCUCGCUGUGUGAAUGGGAGCUGCUACAGGAAGGAAGCUUACAAAUGAACUGCAUGGAUCCCACAUUUUGCUAAAAUCAAAUAGGACCUUUCUCUUCUUUGUUGAAUGCCGUAAUGCACAAGAAAUAAGCCAGCAGAAUGCUCACGUCCAAGGUCUGCCUUCAUCUACCACCUGAGCUGGCAUGAAACAACUUCUGGGGUUCAAAUCUUCUAAACAAUGAUGCAAGUCUUAGCAAAUUUCAAGAACAAUUUAAAGAGGGAAUAAACACCUUUUUGUUUAACUUGGAUCAAUUAUCUCCUUUUGCUCCCAGCUUCGUGCCAGGUACUCUCCAUUGUGCCUGGCAAAUAUGAAUCCCUGCCAUCAUGAAAAAAGAUUCGCCACGAGGAUUUUCCCUACAAUCUAAGGACUAUUUGAAGUGUGAAGUCUUUCAGCUCACACAACACUGGCUAUUUUCACCUUUGCCUUCAACUAUAAAGGCUGGGCUCUCUCUGCAGGAGUGGCCAAACCUGCAAGCCAGAGGUAAAAAAGAGGGCAAAGCUCUUCAAAUCUUUGGAAGCAGAACAGUGUUCGGAGAUGACAAUGAGAUCAGCUUUGCUCAGUUAUACAAAGAGAAAAACACUUUACCAGCAGAGGCUCCAUCAACCUGAACAACGAAGAGAAAGAAACAAGCCUGGUGAUUGGAAAGGAAAUUCUUUAAGUGUGAAUUGCUCCGAGUACAAUAUAAACCUUGUCAGUUAUGGGAUUCCAGCUGUUGUUUUAUUGCCUUUAAUUUCCCAUUAGUGGUUCAAUGUCUGGGAAAGGUAUCCGGCCUCCAGGAGGGGAACUAAGGUCUAAGGUCGGAAUUGUUGUUCCUGUCUCCACCAACAUUUUGAAUAGUGUUUAAAUGAAGCCAUUCAAAUGAUUAUCUUAUGCCUAAUUCUUAAAAGGAGUGUUUGUAAGGAAAAUAAGUUCCUCAUGUGCCCUUUCUUCCUCUCCUAUGUCUCUUCCUCUACUCUUCUUCUACCCUCACCAAAAAAUGAGAUGCUGAAAUAAUGCAAAAAAGUGAUUAUAAUAUAUAGUCUUAUAGUGGUAUCCAUUCCUUGCCUGGGGUGGGGC
rnacentral:lncRNA from 1 species